rnacentral:tRNA from 1 species
GGGCGAUUAGCUCAGUUGGUUAGAGCGCCACGGUGACAUCGUGGAGGUCAUUGGUUCGAGCCCAGUAUCGCCCACCA